CGAAAUGCGAUAAGUAGUGUGAAUUGCAGAAUUCAGUGAAUCAUCGAAUCUUUGAACGCACAUUGCGCCCCCUGGUAUUCCGGGGAGCAUGCCCGUUUCAGAAUCAUAUAAUCAUCUCACUGGCUUUUAGGUAGUGGAUGUUGGAUGGCAUUUGAACUCUGUCUUUUGGAGAGAGUGCAAUCAUCUGAAAUGUGAUUGUACGUGGUCCUAGCUGACAUGGUUGGCUGACCUACCUGGUGCAACAGAUACUCAUCUUUACGCCUUGUGGUCGAUCAAUCAGAGCUUGGUUGCCUUGCGUACACCAAACUUCAAUACAGACAGCUUUGGUUGUCUGAUAACUUGGUCUGAAAUCGGGCAAGAAAACCCGCUGAACUUAAGC
rnacentral:misc_RNA from 1 species